rnacentral:rRNA from 1 species
ACUCCUACGGGAUNCAGCAGUGGGGAAUAUUGGACAAUGGGCGCAAGCCUGAUCCAGCCAUACCGCGUGGGUGAAGAAGGCCUUCGGGUUGUAAAGCCCUUUUGUUGGGAAAGAAAUCCAGCUGGCUAAUACCCGGUUGGGAUGACGGUACCCAAAGAAUAAGCACCGGCUAACUUCGUGCCAGCAGCCGCGGUAAU